GAUGAAGAACUUAGCGAAAUGCGAUAAGUAGUGUGAAUUGCAGAAUUCAGUGAAUCAUCGAAUCUUUGAACGCACAUUGCGCCCUUUGGUAUUCCAAAGGGCAUGCCUGUUCGAGCGUCAUUUGUACCCUCAAGCUUUGCUUGGUGUUGGGCGUCUUGUCUCUAGCUUUGCUGGAGACUCGCCUUAAAGUAAUUGGCAGCCGGCCUACUGGUUUCGGAGCGCAGCACAAGUCGCACUCUCUAUCAGCAAAGGUCUAGCAUCCAUUAAGCCUUUUUUUCAACUUUUGACCUCGGAUCAGGUAGGGAUACCCGCUGAACUUAAGCAUAUCAAUAAGCGGAGGA
rnacentral:misc_RNA from 1 species